rnacentral:rRNA from 1 species
UACGUAGGGUGCGAGCGUUGUCCGGAAUUAUUGGGCGUAAAGGGCUCGUAGGCGGUUUGUCGCGUCGGGAGUGAAAACCCAGGGCUUAACCCUGGGCUGGCUUCCGAUACGGGCAGACUAGAGGUAUGCAGGGGAGAACGGAAUUCCUGGUGUAGCGGUGAAAUGCGCAGAUAUCAGGAGGAACACCGGUGGCGAAGGCGGGUCUCUGGGCCGUAACUGACGCUGAGGAGCGAAAGCGUGGGGAGCGAACAGG